UCCGCUGAAAUGGAGAAGAAACUUUAAACACUUAAGAUAUUUUUCACUCCGUGUAUAAUAAAUUUAAUGAGAUGUGACUUACAUCACGCCUAUAAUUCUCUCCUAGACUCCUACGCCGUAUAAAAAAUUUUCGGGUACGAUGCUUUCAAAUGAGUCCAGUUUAUAUAUGUCCAUCUCAAGUCCUGAAAUCCAUCAGAUUCCUUCGCGGGCUAAAGAAUUGGGUCCCGCCUGUAAAAGUGUAACCUAUAAAAUACGCCCCUAAAACCAUAGGAGAGAGAAACAACCAAGUGUACUCUUCAUUCUAAACGAAACCCUUUUUUAUCUCCGAUUCACCGGAAUUCCAUUCAUUCCGCUCUAUUUUCCCUCUCUUUCUCUCUCUAUAAUGCUAUAGUAUCUGCAAUGACAAGCAACAAAGGAAAGAAUUUCUUGAUUAAUCUUUCUUCAUCUUCUUCUUCCGACGAUAAUGGCGACGAUGACGACACCGCCUCCGAUUCUGCUUCAUCUUCUAGCGGAGAUGAAUGUGAAUUGAUUGAUGAUGACGAUGAUUACGAGAUUGAAGAUGAUGAAUCUGAGGAAGAUGAUUGCUUAAAAGAUGACUUCCGUGGAACUGAAGAUGAUGAUCAUUGUCUCUCUAAUCGAGUCAUUCAGUUUCUUCAAGGAAGACGUGAUUUGCAAGAGUUAAGUCUUAAAGCAUGCAAAGCAUAUUUGAGAAGACAUGAUCUUAGACUAUCAGGGAACAAGGACGAGUGUAUUCGUAGGGUGCAAGAGCACCAUAGGAUAAAAGACGGGAAAGCUGAAAUUCUCUACCCAAGCUCAUCCUUUGUCAUCAAUUGCACAGGUGAUGUCUGCAAGGGAGAUACUGUCCUCUUCAAACAAAAAGUGUAUGGAAGAAGUUUUGACAAAGUGACAAGACAAGGUAAACUUUUGGGGAAAAGAACAGUUGCUGGACGAGUCGUGAAAGAAAGCUAUGGUGCAGCCAAGCAACAACAUACAUUCACAGUUGAGGUACUAUGGAGCAAGGGAAUAAAGAAACUGCCUUCUCUCUUUCCUUUGCUUGUCAAGGGCCGAAAUCUCUAUAGAUUGAAGACCUGCAGGCAGCCAUGGAAGAACGAGGGAGAAAGAAGAAAAGUUCUUGCAGAAAAGCAUAGACGAGGAACAGCUGCACGAUAUAAGAGAGCAAAGAGGAAGAAUGCUUUAUCUACUGAUAAAGGAGGGAAAUCUCGGAAGGUUUCUCAUCGUGGAAGAUCUUCUCAGUUGAAUUAUCCUAAAGGAGGCAAACAUUUUGGUGCAGAGCAGGGGGACUCAUCUUCAAAAAACCACCAUUACACUAAUCUACAGCGGAAUGUGAAACAAGGAGCUGUAGUAAACUCUAACAGAGAAAAAAAUUUCAAACCUUUCGGGGACCCUCAAAAGCUAGUAUCCCGGGACAACAGGGCUUCUACAUUGCAUUCAUUUCAUGGUGCUUCUCAAAGUUAUUCUGAAUCUCUUGUGGGACCUCAUAGGAGUUCUCCAUUUGGCUUAAAUUCUGCAGCUUUCCUGAGUGAUAUCCCUUAUCAUUACACAAGGGUGAUGCCCGCAGCACAAAAUAGUGAUUUCAGUCAUAGCUCCUUUUGUAAUUCUUAUGACAUUCAAUUACCACGGGUGAAUCUAGUGGACUCGAGGCAGUUUUUCCCUUCAGGGGCUACACUUGGACAAAGGAUGAUUGGUCUUGUGAACUGCUCAAUUCAUGGAUGUCAUGAACCAGGAUCUAAUAGAUGUGUCAUUUCUGCAUGUUGGAGGUGUUGUCAAAGGGUGGGAAUGGUGUGCAAUGUCCAUAGAUGACAACCGAUUCUUUGGUGUUCUUUAUCCAUAUGCGUAUAGAAACUCUCAUCCCUGGUGCAUGCUUCAUGUCUAGCCCUAUUGUUGAGAUGCAUGGGAGUUGGACUCUUCAUAUCUACAGAGCUUAUGUCUGAGGAUUUACUUAUGCGUGGGCCUUUUUGUCAAUUUGCUGAAUGCUUUUCAUCAUCGACCUGGUAUGUUUUUUUGGAUUAUACUAGCAUGACAAUAUGACAUACUGUUUGUUGUCUUUAUGUUAUUUCAUUGACAAAAUUCAGAAGAACAAUGCUAAACUAAUCUAUGUAUGGGUAUUUAGUUAUUUUUGCACAUGCUUUUAUUUAGUCAAAAGGAGAAAAUAGCUCAAGCAAUAUCUUUUUACGCGUUUGUUGCUGCUAGGUAUAUAUUUGUUGAGGGUUAUAAAGCUUUUGUCGACCUAUUCAUCUCCUUCUAGAAUAGCUAUGUUACAGACUUACAGAAAAUGGCCCUUCAAAUGGAAAUAUGACUAGAGGUGGUUCUCACCGAGCUCAGUCUGCUCACCAAUAAAGCUUUUGUUAAUCUCUGAGUUUGACCAUUUAGAGUCGUUUUUGCUUGUCCAUCCUGUGCAUUACCUGACUAUAGUUAACAUUUUAAGUAAGAACACCACUGUUAAAAAGAAUUUAGAAUUAUUGGUGAGCAGACAAUUAACAUCAUGUCGUGUCCACUACUUUUUGAGAUGUUUCAUAAUUGGAUAUUUGAUGUGAAAGUGUUGGAAACACAGAACUUGAAUUUGUUGCCGUAUCACCGUAUGCACAUGAUAGGGCUAAGUCCCCACUAAAUGACGGCCUUGGACCUUUCAUAGAAAUAUCACCUUCUGACUCAUUUCUAAACUUCCCUUUUUGACCGGACUACAUGGUACCUUAACCUCCAUCCAUUCACUUUCCAAUAACAACAAUUCGACCUUCUGAAGGAUACUGGAGUGAAUUUUCUUGUCAGACAGAGAAAAGAAAUUGGUGGGGCCGUUAAGCUUUAAUUAGGCUACAAUAAGUUUGUGUCCUCUAUUACAACACGAAGUCUCCUUAUCUUCCAUGCAACUCUUGCCCCCAUUGUAUGCUCCAUUUUCACUCUUUGUUCCACUGUUUUAGCUAGAUCCUUAUUUUUAGGGCCAAUAGACUUUACUAGAUUCGCCUUCUCAAUUAUUAUAGUUGCCUAAGGCUUUAACGUGGCAUUUUAAGACAUAAUGAUUCAGAAAGCACUUGCCGAUGCCAACAACCUAGGGGUAAAUUAGGGAAAAAACUUCCAACCAGUUUAGUUUGUAGUUAACCAAAGUUCUCUUAGUCUAUUGGCAGUAUGUUCCCUCCUUAGACUCAGCCCAAGUCAUCAACAUUUGUUGUCAAGAGAAGUGCUGGGUAUGCAACAGGUUGGUCUGGUUUUCAGCCUCUUGUUUGGGAUAGAAUUCUGGCAUAGCUGUUUAGGGUUAAGGCGCAUAGGACGGG